rnacentral:rRNA from 1 species
UUGAAAGCUGGCGUCUUCGGCGUCCGCAUUGUAAUCUCAAGAAGUGUUUUCCGCUUCGGACCAAGCCUAAGUCCCUUGGAAAAGGGCAUCAUAGAGGGUGAUAAUCCCGUACAUGGCAUGGAGCGCCCGAAGCUUUGUGAUACGCUUUCUAAGAGUCGAGUUGUUUGGGAAUGCAGCUCAAAAUGGGUGGUAAAUGCCAUCUAAGGCUAAAUAUUGGGGAGAGACCGAUAGCGAACAAGUACAGUGAUGGAAAGAUGAAAAGAACUUUGAAAAGAGAGUUAAACAGUACGUGAAAUUGCCAAAAGGGAAGGGUAGGAGGUCAGAGAUGCGGCCUGGGAUUCAGCCUUGCUUUUGCUUGGUGUUUUUCCCAGAUUGCAGGCCAACGUCGGUUUUGGGCACUGGAGAAGGGUAGGAGGAACGUGGCACCUCUCGGGGUGUGUUAUAGCCUCCUACUGGAUACAGCGACCGAGACCGAGGACAGCAGCGUACUCGCAAGAGCGGGCCUUCGGGCACCUUUACGCUUAGGGCGUUGGCAUAAUGGCCCUCUACCACC